UGACAUGUGUCCGGUUCAUUAAGUCAUUGGGCUCCUGCGAUGUCCUUCCGGUCCGCUUAAGUUGCUGUCGCCUCUAACCUCUAACCCUAAUACGACUUGAUCGAAGACGGUGACCUCUGCGCUUCUUCUCACCACCAGAAACUGUUUCGUCAUAAAUCCCGUAGAUUAGCUCCUCCACGAUGUGUAUUGAAAGCGUCUUUUCGAUCUGAAAGGCUGUAUGGGGUAUUGGCUCAGUAUAAAUAUUUGCGAGAUUCCUCUCUUUGAACUUUUCUUUUCUUCGUUUUCUAUUAGGGUUCCUUCCUUCGUUCCCAGAUUUUGAUUUUUAACCGGAAAUAGUCACUUUUCCUCCGGUGACUGUGAGGCUAAUGAAUCUUCUGGUGUGUGGUUUGAUAAAAAAAUGGAGGUAAUCACUCAUCCAACACCUCGAACUGUCUAAGAGGUCUUUACUGACUUCAGAGGUCGCUGAGCUGGUCUUAUCAAGGCUCUCACCACCGAUAUGGUGAAGUUUUACCAAACAUGCGAUCCUGUUUCUGUUGAUGAAAUGUGGAAGCCAAGUUCUACGUGCUAGAAGGCUACGACAUCACUCCCAAAAACUUGAAUACUUUGAGGAUGUUCAAGGGGUUCUAGAGAUCAAGGACGGAUACAAUCCUGCAACGUGGAUGCUUGACAUCACUACUCCUUCAAUGGAGUCACAAAUGUGUGUGGGCUUUGCUCAACUAUUCACCAACUCCUCUAUUCAUCGGAGAGACCAGAAACUCAUCAAAGAGCUCAGUACUCCAGCACCAGGAUCAAAAUAUCUCUACUUCCAAACUAAGUAUUUGCAGCUGUUUUUGACUCAAAACCAAAGCUUGCUUCUUGAAACAGUAUUGGUCUAGCUGGAGAUAUCCUCAGUACAACGCCAUUCCGUUUUCUCAUGACGGUAUUGGCGUCAUGUAUGGUUUGGUUUCAUGGCAAACAUGAGCAAAAAUAGAGGAGCAAGACCUGAAUUACUUAUGUGGUACCCUGCGAUACGGUUCCUCGGUGCCACCACCGUUGCAACAGUUCAACAUGCUAUUGUCAUUGAGCGUACUGUUUCUUCUGUGAAAAAAAGCUGCUGGAAUGUAAUCAUCCAUCUCUUAUGGUGGCCGCGGAAAUCAUGUACAACACGAUACAAACGGGAGUUUACACAAUAGGAAUAAAAUUAAAAGAAUUGCUCUACUCUACAACAUCAAUGAUUGGAUUCAGAUUCAUCGCACACCGUCCAUGUUCAAGCUUCCGAGAUUCAGAAAAGACUAGCGGAAGUAGCGAGAGGGAUACUGUCUGAGUUUGAGAACUCUGUUCUUCGUGAGCCUUCGGUAGUUCCUGUCCCAGAAGGAACUGUUCAUCCUUUUACAAGGUAUGUAAUGAACUACAUCAGUUUGAUCUCUCAUUACAGGCAGACUCUCAACGAUCUUAUUAUGUCGAUCGGAUCCCUCAACGAGAACUGAUCCAAACACACCGGUUGCUGAAAGAUGGGUUCGUGUUGGAACAUGACUUCUUACCAUUUGUAGCUGCUGUCCACAUAGGAUGGAUACUGCUCUUUGUCUUUAUUGGUGGUAUCAACUAUCAAGUUCCUCAACUUUCAAAUGAAGGUGAAGGAGAAAGGAACCUUUGUACAAUAGUCUUUUAGGAGCAUCUGUAAUUUUUUCUUUUAUUAGACCAUCUCCAACCCACCUCUAUUUAUAUCUCUAUAUUUUUCCCCUAAAAUAGAGAAACUAUAUUAUAGAGGUGGAUUUGCUCCAAUGUAUGCCUAUAUAAUAGAGUUCCUCUAUUUAUAGGGGAAAAUAUAGAGAUUUGCCAUUUUCAUCCCUAAAUAUAGAGGCAAAAAUUGAGAUCCCUCUAUAUUUUCCUCUAAAAUAGAAGAACUCUAUUAUAGAGGUGUACAUUGGAGCAAAUUGACCUCUAUUAUAAAGAUCUCUAUUUUAGAAAAAAAUAUAGAGGUGUACCUCAAUUUUUUUUUGGAACAUUAUUAUAUAUUGUUUCUAUUUCGUUAGUAACAACAACACUAAUAACAUUUUACGCUAACAAUAUUAUACUUUUAAUAACCU